rnacentral:rRNA from 1 species
UUACGACUACAUAUCAGGCAUAUCAAUAAGCGGAGGAAAAGAAACUAACAAGGAUUCCCUUAGUAACGGCGAGUGAAGCGGGAAGAGCUCAAAUUUGAAAUCUUCAAGGUUCUACCUUGACGAAUUGUAGUUUAAAGAAGUGUUUUCUGCUAGAGGAGUAGCAAAAGUUCCUUGGAAUGGGACAUCAUAGAGGGUGAGAAUCCCGUAUUUGGUUAUUCUUUCUAGCUUUGUGAUACACUUUCAAAGAGUCGGAUUGUUUGGGAAUGCAGUCCAAAGUGGGUGGUAAAUUUCAUCUAAAGCUAAAUAUUGGCGAGAGACCGAUAGCGAACAAGUACCGUGAGGGAAAGAUGAAAAGAACUUUGAAAAGAGAGUUAAACAGUACGUGAAAUUGUCAAAAGGGAAGCGUUUGACACCAGUGUUGUUUAGUUGAAAAUCAAUUCAAUAGUUUUUGAUUCUAAGUAGUAUUGACUUCAUCAGCUUGCUGCUUUCUUCUCAGAAAUUAUUGAAUGCACUUUUCAGUUAACAAGUCAACAUCAAUUUCUUUUGUUGUAAAAGGGUAAGAGGAAGGUGGCUUGCGCUUCGGCUCAAGUGUUUAUAGCCUUUUAUCUCUGCAAUCGGAGAGAUUGAGGUCUGCAGCGUAGAUCCUUCGGGGUUAGAUACAAUGGUGCUAAGCUAUAGCCUUGUAUAGACAACUUGUUGACUAUGCUCAGUCAUGUAGCUUACUCGCUGAUGCUAUAUACCUACGCUUAGGAUGUUGAUCUACAGAGCGAGAGU